rnacentral:rRNA from 1 species
GACGAACGCUGGCGGCGUGCCUAAUACAUGCAAGUAGGACGCAGUUGCGAACGGGUGAGGAACGCGUAGGUAACUGCCUAGUUGAGGGGGAUAACUAUUGGCAACGAUCGCUAAUACCGCAUGCAUGUAGUUGGACCUGCGUUGAAGUAGCUAGUAGGUUGGGCAAUGGCCUACCUAGGCAACGAUACAUAGCCGACCUGGGGGGGUGAUCGGCCCACCUGGGACUUGGGCACGGCCCAGACUCCUACGGGAGGCAGGAGGAGGGAAACUUUGGCAAGUGGGGGAACUCCGACCGAGCAACGCCGCGUGAGUGAAAGAGGUUUUCGGAUCGUAAAGCUCUGUUGUUAAGGAAGCGGUACUUAACCAAAAAGGGACGGCUAACUACGUGCCAGCCGCCGCGGUAAUAC